rnacentral:rRNA from 1 species
GUAUGGUGCAAGCGUUAUCCGGAUUUACUGGGUGUAAAGGGAGCGUAGGCGGGACGUUAAGUCAGUUGUGAAAGUUUGCGGCUCAACCGUAAAAUUGCAGUUGAUACUGGCGUCCUUGAGUGCGGCAGAGGCAGGCGGAAUUCGUGGUGUAGCGGUGAAAUGCUUAGAUAUCACGAAGAACUCCGAUUGCGAAGGCAGCUUGCUGGACCGUAACUGACGCUGAUGCUCGAAAGUGCGGGUAUC